rnacentral:rRNA from 1 species
AGAGUUUGAUCCUGGCUCAGGAUGAACGCUGGCGGCGUGCCUAACACAUGCAAGUCGAACGGGGCGCGCAGGCUGAGGCUUUUCGGAGCGGAAGCCUGCGCUGCCCAGUGGCGGACGGGUGAGUAACGCGUGGGCAACCUGCCCUGCACUGGGGGACAACAGCCGGAAACGGCUGCUAAUACCGCAUAUGCCCGCAGCCCCGCAUGGGGCGGCGGGGGAAGCUCCGGCGGUGCAGGAUGGGCCCGCGUCUGAUUAGCUGGUUGGCGGGGCAACGGCCCACCAAGGCGACGAUCAGUAGCCGGCCUGAGAGGGUGGGCGGCCACAUUGGGACUGAGACACGGCCCAGACUCCUACGGGAGGCAGCAGUGGGGGAUAUUGCACAAUGGGGGGAACCCUGAUGCAGCGACGCCGCGUGGGCGAUGGAGUGCUUCGGCAUGUAAAGCCCUAUCAGCAGGGAAGAAAAUGACGGUACCUGACUAAGAAGCCCCGGCUAAAUACGUGCCAGCAGCCGCGGUAAUACGUAUGGGGCAAGCGUUAUCCGGAUUUACUGGGUGUAAAGGGAGCGUAGGCGGCCUGGCAAGCCUGAUGUGAAAUACCGGGGCCCAACCCCGGGGCUGCAUUGGGAACUGCCAGGCUGGAGUGUCGGAGGGGUAAGCGGAAUUCCUAGUGUAGCGGUGAAAUGCGUAGAUAUUAGGAGGAACACCAGUGGCGAAGGCGGCUUACUGGACGAUGACUGACGCUGAGGCUCGAAAGCGUGGGGAGCAAACAGGAUUAGAUACCCUGGUAGUCCACGCAGUAAACGAUGAAUGCUAACUGUUCGGUCCGCUUAAGGGCUGGGUGGUACAGCGAAAGCGUUAAGCAUUCCACCUGGGGAGUACGCCGGCAACGGUGAAACUCAAAGGAAUUGACGGGGGCCCGCACAAGCGGAGGAACAUGUGGUUUAAUUCGAUGAUACGCGAGGAACCUUACCCGGGCUCAAACGUAGGUGGAAUAUCGGUGAAAGCCGUUAGCCCUUCGGGGCCGUCUACGAGGUGCUGCAUGGUUGUCGUCAGCUCGUGCCGUGAGGUGUCGGCUUAAGUGCCAUAACGAGCGCAACCCCUAUCGACAGUUGCUAACAAGUAGCGUUGAGGACUCUGUCGAGACUGCCGGUGCAAGCUGCGAGGAAGGCGGGGAUGACGUCAAAUCAGCACGGCCCUUACGACCGGGGCGACACACGUGUUACAAUGGCAGGUACAGCGGGAAGCCAUACGGCGACGUAGCGCAGAACCCGAAAACCUGUCUCAGUUCGGAUUGGAGUCUGCAACUCGACUCCAUGAAGCUGGAUUCGCUAGUAAUCGCGCAUCAGCCACGGCGCGGUGAAUACGUUCCCGGGCCUUGCACUCACCGCCCGUCA